rnacentral:lncRNA from 1 species
UGUUGGUGGUGAUGCAUUGGCGUCCCACGCAGCAAAACCCGGAUCCAGCAUUGCCUGAAAAGUUUUUUCGGGGUUCCGGACCCGGCUGGCGAUCCCCGUCUUUCGGUGUCCGGUCCCCUCCACCGGUGUGGUGCGGCCCGUGAUUGGAGUUGGCUCCGCCCCUUAAUAACCUUACUGAUUGGAAAGAGGUAUAAAGUGAAAACAAGUGAAAGUCACAUAUUAUUGUUGAUAGGAUCAACUAUCAACCGUUUCACCUUGAGACUGAUAUCACAGACACGUCAUACUAUGACGUCUUAUCAGGUGAUUCGCCUGAUAAGAUAUCACGUCACGUCACGACGUGAUAGUAUGACGUGACUGUGAUAUCACUCAAAAGCGAUCAUCAUCGUACAGGAAAAAUUUUCUAUUUUUUGCAUAAAAUAAAAAAGACCAAAACUAUAAGGCAAUGAUGUAACAGUUAGAAAAAGCAACUUGAAGCGGUAGAGGUCUGUUGGUCCAACAUGGCUUCUGUUAGGUGUAAAGGAUACUUUGAAGAUGUGGAAAAAGCUAAAGAUUUAGUAGAUGCCGCCGCUGAAGGCGAUUAUUUUCAAGUGUUAGCUCUACUAAAUGCAGGUAUAUCAAUAAAUGCUGAGGAAUACAACAGAAGUUUAUUUUAUGCUUCUAAAAACUAUAUGACUCCAUUGCAAGUUGCUUCUGCUAAUGGACAUGUUGAUUGUGUGAAAUUACUUGUUGACAGAGGAG